AACGAACGCUGGCGGCAUGCCUAACACAUGCAAGUCGAACGAGACCUUCGGGUCUAGUGGCGCACGGGUUCGUAACGCGUGGGAACCUGCCCUUAGGUUCGGAAUAACUCCCCGAAAGGGGUGCUAAUACCGGAUAAUGUCUUCGGACCAAAGAUUUAUCGCCUUUGGAUGGGCCCGCGUUGGAUUAGCUAGUUGGUAGGGUAAAAGCCUACCAAGGCGACGAUCCAUAGCUGGUCUGUGAGGAUGAUCAGCCACACUGGGACGGAGACACGGCCCAGACUCCUCCGGGAGGCAGCAGUGGGGAAUAUUGGACAAUGGGCGAAAGCCUGAUCCAGCAAUGCCGCGUGAGUGAUGAAGGCCUUAGGGUUGUAAAGCUCUUUUACCCGGGAUGAUAAUGACAGUACCGGGAGAAUAAGCUCCGGCUAACUCCGUG
rnacentral:rRNA from 1 species